rnacentral:tRNA from 1 species
CCAAGAACUGGCACAGUGUAGUGGAUAGUGUGUCAGGCUUGGAUUUUGGUAGACCUGGGUUCAAACCCCCACUUCUACCAUGGA